CUAGUUGAUCAUGCUAGUAGUCAUAUGUUUGUCUCAAAGAUUAAGUCAUGCAUGAGUAAGUAUGAACUAAUUCAGAUUGUGAAACUGUGAAUGAUUUAUUAAAUCAGUUAUAGUUUAUUUGAUGAUAUCUACUACUCGGAUAACCGUGUAAUUCUAGAGCUAAUACAUGCAACAAACCCCGACUUCUAGAAGGGAUGCAUUUAUUAGAUAAAAGGUUGACACAGGCUUUGUCUAUUGCUUUGAUGAUUCAUGAUAACUCGUCGGAUCGCACGUCCCUUGUGCUUGCGACACAUCAUUCAAAUUUAUGCCCUAUCAACUUUCGAUGGUAGGAUAAUGGCUUACCAUGGUGGUGACGAGUGACGGAGAAUUAGGGUUCGAUUCCGGUGACGGAGCCUAAGAAACAGCUACCACAUUCAAGGAAGGCAGGAGACGCACAAAUUACCCAAUCUUAACACGGAGAGUAGUGACAAUAAAUAACAAUAUCGGGAACGAGGAUCCAUUGGAGGGUAAGUCUGGUGUCAACAGCCGCAGUAAUUCCAGCUCCAAUAAAGUAUAUU
rnacentral:ncRNA from 1 species